CCUUGCGUUGCCGAGCUUUGGAGAGCCCUACCCACGUUCGGGACGUGGGGGUCGAGUGUUCGAAUCACUCCACUCCGACCA
rnacentral:tRNA from 1 species